rnacentral:rRNA from 1 species
CGGGUGAGUAAUGUCUGGGGAUCUGCCUGAUGGCGGGGGAUAACUACUGGAAACGGUAGCUAAUACCGCAUAAUGUCUACGGACCAAAGCGGGGGACCUCCGGGCCUCGCGCCAUCAGAUGAACCCAUAUGGGAUUAGCUAGUAGGUGAGGUAACGGCUUACCUAGGCGACGAUCCCUAGCUGGUCUGAGAGGAUGAUCAGCCACACUGGGACUGAGACACGGCCCAG